rnacentral:rRNA from 1 species
UACGUAGGGGGCAAGCGUUGUCCGGAUUUAUUGGGCGUAAAGAGCUCGUAGGCGGUUCCGUAAGUCGUGAAGUCAAAUCUCUGGGCUCAACCCAGAAUCGCUUCCGAUACUGCGGUGACUGGAGUCCGGUAGGGGAGUGUGGAAUUCCAAGUGUAGCGGUGAAAUGCGUAGAGAUUUGGAGGAACACCAGUGGCGAAGGCGACUUUCUGGUCUGUAACUGACACUGAGGCGCGAAAGCGUGGGGAGCAAACAGG